CCCUUAGAUGUUCUGGGCCGCACGCGCGCUACACUGACGGAGGCAGCGUGCAUGUCCUUCGCCGAGAGGUGUGGGGAAUCUUGUGAGUCUCCGUCGUGCUGGGGAUAGAUGGUUGCAAUUGUCGAUCUUGAACGAGGAAUUCCUAGUAAGCGCGAGUCAUCAGCUCGCGCUGAUUACGUCCCUGCCCUUUGUACACACCGCCCGUCGCUACUACCGAUUGGAUGGUUUAGCGAGAACUUUGGACCGGAGCUCGGGUGGUCAGCAAUGGCCGCCCGAGACAUACUGGGAAAUCGCUCCAGCUUGAUCAUCUAGAGGAAGUAAAAGUCGUAACA
rnacentral:rRNA from 1 species